UCCUGGAGGAGGCCUGGUCGACGACCGGGCCGCGGGGACACUAAGCCCCGGAAGCACCUCAAGGUAGCCUCAAGGUAGCCUCGCAAAACAGACCUGAUGUAGGCCAAAGUUUUUCUAACCAUUUCUUAGUGCUGUUUGCUUUAUCUCGUCCCAUGCACUAGCAAUAGUCCAGAUAGCUGACUUUAUUGUAAGGACUUUAAAAAAAAGUCCUUAACUGUUCCUGGCUGAUUAUUAAGACUUUUAGCAAACAUCUUCUUGUAGUGGUGCUUAAGAGUCUUAAUUAUCCCUUGAUCCAUGGGUUGGAUCAGUGACAUUGUACUGGGUGGUAAGAACAUACCAUUGAUACAGUAUUGCCAUUUACUAGCUCAUCACUUCGUGGAUGCGUUGCACCAUUAUCUAGCAGCAGCACAACUUUGCUGUUUUGCGGGAGGCCAACACUUUUCAAGUGCUCCUUCACUUCGGGUACAAAGUUCUUAUUAAACCACUCGGCAAAUAUCACUCGAGACAUCCACCCACUUGACUGGUUCUUAUAAAUCACAGGGAGGCACCUAGCUGACUUUAAAACCCUGGAGUUUUUGCUAAUUCCAAUCGCAAGUAGUAAUUUCAAUUUGUGCGUGCCAGCUUCAUUUGCACAGCACAGUACAACACACAAAUUCUGUUUGUUCAGCUUAUAACCACCUGAAGGAUCGUCUUCACCACUAUGACCCAUCGUGUCUGUGGGUAACAUACGCCAACACAAACCUGUCUCAUUAGCAUUAUAAAUUUGCUCUGGAGAUAAAUUUUGUUCCUGCACCAUCUCUGCAAAUUUACUUAAAUACUUGUCAACACCAGUAGUGUCAACAGAUCCUUUCACCAUGUUCCCUAUUGAAUCUAAUACCAUGGUGGAUUUUAAAGCUUCUGAGCCAUUCAUCACACUAUAAACACUUUUCAGGAAUUUUCAUAGCUUGGUGAAACUCUCGUGCCUUUUCCAUGAACAGCCAGCCUGCCACUGGCUUCUUCGACUCCUCACGCUUCUGUUUGUACCAAUGCCACACUGCAUUAUCAACAGUCUCCACUUUUGCUUUACUUACUACCUUUCUAUUUCGUUUUGCCUUACCACUUCCACUUCUAGAGAAAUAGUCAAAAUGAUAGAUUUAGUCUUAAGAUGUUAAAAAACGGUACUCUUGCUAAUGCCAUAAUCAGCGCGCACAACACUUCUCAGGACUCUUCUCUCCACCUUCUUAAUUAUUUCACCUUUCUUUUCAAAUGUCAUCACUGACCUCUUUCUUUUACAUAUCCCGCUUGUUGAUGCUGCUACUGACAUAAUGUAUGCAUUUGGACAUGACAUCGUGCACGGAUGUUACUCAAUUGUGACGAUAUAUCCAACAAAGUCACGGAAUGAACACUCCAGUCUCGUAACAAAUCAAAAUAAUGGGAACAAUGGGCCGUGAAUCUGUGACGUCACAGGUAGAAGGCACUAGAGUGGCGCCGACAUGGUCAUUGGGCAAACUAGGCCCAUCUCCCACCCAACCAUCCCCCACCACCCUGGGCUGUGAGGCUUGGCAGAUUCCCGAACCAUUUUAUGCCAACCUUGUGCUUCCCGAACUUCAGUAUCCGAACCAACCCCAAUCGGGAAACUGGCAUUUUUAGAUAGACGACAUUCACAAAGCACGUGGCUAUCUGUAGCAACAAGAGUCCUCAAUAAAGAUCAUUAAUGAACAGAGGUACGAUGUUACCAUAUGACAAGGUCAGAGUAUUCCUAGACGAGGAAUAUGAGUCGGCUGAAAAAUUUACUGCACUGGGGAACUUAUAUUUUAUUCAUCAGAAUGUUCAAGAUCUUCAAAUAUGGGAUUUUAAAGAAAAGAAAUUUACUGAUUGUGUAGACAGAAGAGAAUAUUCAGGAAAUAUUGAAGAUGUCAGCACCAAGGAGAAGGCCAAGUUUCCUCAAGAAUUUUUUCCUGAGUGUAAAUGGUCUCGCAAAGGUUUUAUGCGAACACGGUGGUGUCUAAAUGGUACAAAAUUCGACCUGGUAAACAUCCACCUUUUCCAUGAUGCCUCUAAUUUUAUUGCUAUGGAGGGGUUUCCAUCUGUGUAUAGCCUCAACAGGAAGAGAGCACUAGAGCACACGUUAGACAGAUUUCACAAUGAUGGAUUUGAAAAAGUGCCAAUAUUCCUAUUUGGGGACUUUAACUUUAGAAUGAAUACUCGCGCAGUUGUGGAGAAAUUGACUCAAGGGUGUACAGUGGUGGACACAGAACUGCCGAACUCCAGUGAAAAGGCUCAAGAGUUUUUGGACAACAAAGGCACUGUACAACUCGUUGUCUCUAAGAAGUCCUUCAAGCACUGUGACCAUCAUUCAAUCUUCCUUAAGGAAAAUGGCAGCUGGCUUCGUGAGUUUGAUCAAGAAUUGGCUCAGUUCGGCAAUAGGCUGGCUGAGUUUCCUAUCAACUUUCCUCCAAGUUACCCUUUUGAAGAAGGUGCUGAUGGGGAUGGGUCUCACUACAUGCAGACCAGGUGCCCAUCCUGGUGCGAUAGAAUCAUCUUGGACAAAGCAGCUAAGAAGCUCAUUGAUUCAAGUGGGGGAAAGGUUGCGUACAAUAUCAUCGGCUUGAGUACCACUAUGGGGGAUCAUAAGCCCGUGAGUUUGUGUGUGGAGGUGCCCAUGGGAGCAGGUAUAGUGACGUGUUGCUCUCCUCAUGCACCAUGUCGUAACUUUGUGCAUGAACCUGACGCUCACUGUUUUGUGCAGGCGGGUUGGUGCCUGUGUCAGUCCUACCCACCCUGCCCAAGACCUGUAGUCACGUCUGUGUGCCCCAACAGUAGUACCCCGCCCUCCCUUCCAGGCCAGGUCACCCCAGUCAUUCCAGCUGCUGCAUGUGUUACCCCAGUAAGGGUAGAUGUGGCUCCUGCUCCAGGUAGUGUCAGCAGUCACGGGCCAUGUUUAGUGCCUCAAUGUGUGUGUAGUGCUGGUGCUAGUGAAGAGAAAAUUAGCCAUCACUGUCAAUGUGGCUACCCAGCUAGAGAACCUCAAAUGAGAACUGAAGGUGGAGUACAAUCUAGAGACCUUUUACGCAACCUUUUGUUACUGGGUGGAACCUCUGUGGAUGGGACAAGUGUAAUUGGCCAUGAACAGCUACUGAAACGAGUCAAUUCAGCACCAAACACAAGCUUUGUGCCAUUAAAACCUCACUGGCAUAUACCUUUAGCUGCUUCUCAUUCUCUUGACACUGGUAGCUGCCUCCAUCAGACAUAUCCGCCGUGUGCUAAGCUCCGACUCCGAGCCUCAUCAUCCCGGUUAAUCUCCCAUCAUAGCUCUUCAACUGAAGAAUGGUUUGAAGAGGUUCCUGUGCAUCAAGAUGCUGACCACGUUAAAAAAAAUUCAAGUGUGUAUGUCCGUUCUGAAUCUCUGAAACCCACUCAGGAAGUUAGUCCACCAUCUUCACCAAAACUUUGUGAAAGUGGAGACAAGCCACCACCUUCUCCAGUAUCAGGAGGGUUCCAGGAUAUGGACACGGGUGUUUGGUUACCCUCUAGCCAGAUAGCAGAGGAAUCUGGAGAAAGUGUUGGUGCAUGUAGCAUGGGUGAGAGUGGAGGGGCAGACAGCAGAGGUGAAGGUGAAUGCCAUAGUACAAAGGGAAUGCUUGGAGUUGUCCGCAAACAAGUGAGCACUGAACAACACUCUCUCAAUAAUCUGCUUCUUGCCGAUAGUUGUGACCAACUUUCUACUAAACACCUAACUCAUUCAGAAUCAAGUUUAAGUGUACAUUACAGUGAAGAUAGUGUUUCCAGUAUGGGAAGGCCACUGAAAGAUGGAGAGACAGUUUCACAAGCUCCCACAUUUGACAUUGCUGACGUAGAUCCCAGUGACGUAAGCUCUCCAAAACCCCAUAUUAAGUGCCAAAAGCCUAGCCACAAGCCCAAUGCUGAUAUAUCUGAGCGCCCGCCUGGCCAGUGCUGUUGUGUUGUGUCUUAACCUAGACUCCGUAGUGCUUCUCUUAGUGCUCCGUCGGUGUAUUAACAUAUUUAGAAGUAUAGUGUGGCAUACCUGCGUGAAUCUGCCAUUGCCUAGUCAUAGAAAAAUGUGUGUGUGUAUAAACCAAAGUGUUAUAAGAAAAUUUAAGUACUGUAUGAAUUGACUGAAAUCACUCAUUCAGUCAUAUAACAUUGUGUAGUGAUGUUAUGAAACUUAUAUAUUUCAUGGACACUGUGGCAAGUGUGAAUAUGUAUACAGUACCCAGUACUUUUCUAUAAUUAGAUAAUUAGUGAACUUAAUUUAUAUAAAUAUAAAAUUAAACAUUUUGAUAAUAAGUUAACAAGUGCAUGAUAAAGAAAAAAUAUUAGGAAUAAAUGCUCUGAAACAAAAGACAAAUGUACGGCACCGUCAUAUGGUCUUACAGCUGUCUACACUGCAUGCCAAGAUCAGCUGUUUAUUCCCGCCUAACUGUGGUGGUGACAUGCUGCGAACAGCUGACUUGGCUGACUCAUAAUGAACACCUUCAGUUCACCUUUCUUAAAUUUGUACAGACUGCCUGUGAUGACGGCACCCCAGUGGAUGAACCUGUGUGGCAGCUUCGGGAGCUGGGAGAGAUGACUGCACUGCCCAACCAGGCAACAGACGUGGAAGAAGAAAGCAACGUACCAACUAGAACAUUGAGAUGUGGUUCUCAGGG